AUCCAGCCGACAAGUCGCAAACAGGACGAAAUGCGUGUUCUGGAU
rnacentral:hammerhead_ribozyme from 1 species